CAGCUGUGUUGGUUCAAGGACACAUGUAAAACCUGCAGGGACACCGGCCCUCGGGGCCUGGAAUUGCCCACCCCUGCUAUACAUAGACACAUGGAACAAAACCCCCAGACAGCGGAACAGUGCACACACAUACACCAAAUGAUAAUAAUAGUAAUAAUGAUAAUAAUAACAAUAAUAAUAAUAAUAAUGAUAACAGUCCACACUGCUCACGGACCCCGAGUCCUCCAGAGCUGGGUCCGUGACACCAGUAGUCAUAAACCAUGAACCAAAAGAAAAAACAGACUAACAAACAACAAUACAAAAUCAAGACACUGGGCCACCGGCCCAGGACUGUAAUACUCUGAACAUAAACACAAGCUACAUGUGAUAUCUCUGAUGGAUACCUGUUUCUACCUGUGCUGAUGCUGGCAUGACUAAAGCUAGCCAAGCAGCAGUAAAUAUGUGAAGCAAGGCAGAAGGAUAUACUCCUAAAAUGAACAGAAUUAUAAGAAUAUAAGACCACGAGCACUGCAAAUGUAACAAAUAUAUGUUGACAUCACAUGGUAUGUUAUUUGAAAUUAUAUGAAAUAAUGAGACAUCUGUUUUUUCCAAUAUUCUUUAAAAAGAAAUUUAUUAUUUGAAAUCUUAAGAAAUCAUAAUUAUAUACAACUAAAUGUGACUCGCAAAUAUGUAAAUGGAUGAUUCCUCAUUUGGAAUCAUCCAUUUAAAACAUAUUUGCUGAGUCCUAAUUUUGAUGCCAGUGAACUUUUUUUUUUUAAAAGCCCCCAAAUCCCCUAUGAGCAAGCACUUGGCGACAGCGGGGAGGAAAAACCCCCCUUUAAUGGGAGGAAACCUCCGACAGAACCGGGCCCAGGAAGGGGUGGCCAUCUGUCGCGACCAGGUGGCGUUUAAAUGUUCACUGACAAUUUAGUUGUAUUGUAAGGAAGAGGACUCCCUUACCUAGUAUUAUUUCUUUUUAACUAUAACUUACCGUUGUUCCAGGUCCUGUCACCUGUUGCAAACUUCCAUCAGCAGCUGUGACCUGUUGUCAGAGGAGGAUUGCCAGCAAAAGAAAGGUACAGAUAAUUCCAGCAGCAAAUAUUAGGAAUUUGAUGGUAUCGUCACGCCAAAAACUCCUUGGCUUCCUUGCAACCUGCUCCAGGACUUCCUUCAUACAGAACUGCAAAGCCUUCACAAUUAUUAUGUCCACAGCUGGAUCUGGUGUAGUAAGUAUGUUUUUCAGCUUCUCAGCAGUCAGUGCCUUUUGAAUGUCACUGAGGACAGCCCUGCUGAUCUGUUUGACGAGCGUUUUUGACACAUCUGCGCUCUUUGGGAUGCUGAGGCCCUCCAUUGUCUGGUCUAGCAGCACUUUAGUGUGGGUGGCAUGCUCGUCUUUAGUGGAGCUUUGGAGAGCUUUACAUUUCCUCAGGACUCUGACCAAUACAAUGCAAGCAAACAACCGGUGCCGCUCUUCCUUGGCUGUUGUUUCAUCAGCUGGCUGUGAUCGGUCAAAUAUAUCUCUUGCCGAUGGUUUCAUAAUUUAAAUAUCAAGGGUUUCUUGUUUUUCCUUGUUCUCCAACUAAUCUCAAAAGUCGCCGGACGUUCACUCACAAUCCUAGUGAGUUUAGGGUCCCUAUAUGCCCUCUGCGAAUUAUCUUAUCUGUGACGCAUCAAAGAGAACUCAUGACGCGUCAAAGGUUCACAUUCGCACAUGCGCACACCCGCACACUCGCUAAGGGGAAAACAUAAUUUAAAUGAAAACUCAUUAAGGAACUGAGUAUAAAUAAUAUAUAUAUUUUUGUUUUUAUUUCCAGGUGAAUUUAUCUCAAUGGUUUUAUUUACUUAUGUAAAUGCAGCGCUCCAAACGUGUGUGUGGAAAAUACAUUCUUAAAGUUUAAGGAAUGCCUGCAGUAUCGCAUUCAGUCCAGAAAUGCGAUAAUGCAGAAAUGCGUAAUGAAUCGAGGGAACAACGGUUGAGUUGCCAGGAUCAUCUGACGGUAAAUAAUGUAAUGACUGAAGCAGGACAGGAAACCUGGUCCAUCAUCUCAUCUUUGCAGAUCUCUGUUAAAAAGCACCGAAGACUCAAACGUCUAUGGUGGAGGUAUGAAGAAGACUUCCCUCUGAGGGAGCUGCUGGGUCCUGUUUGAUCCCUGCAAUGAACUUCAGUCUUCCUGGUGUUUCUGACAUGAUGUCUGCCUCAUCCAGUACAGGACAGCUGUGAUGAAAGAAAGACAGGAAGUUUCUACAAACCACUGGACCAGUCAGUCCAGACCCAGCUAGGCCCUGAUGGUUGCCUUUUGCUCGAUUUCCCCAGUGCGACUGUAGCUGUUGCAUUGUAAAAUCUAAUUAGUUUUUUUUUAAGUUCCCAGAACUUAAAAAACCAUCCAAAAUUGUUGACUCAAAAAAAUUGCUGAAGGUUAAGUUAAAAAUGUUGAAUGAGCUGAAAAAGAGAAUUUCUCACUUGAAAACAAAAGUGCAGAACUGUUGAAAGCUGACAUUCACACAGAAGAAGUUUCAAAGCUGAAAAGCAGCUGAACAUCCUUAAAAUGUAAAAAAGCUGAGUAAUGACAAAAGAAAAAAAUUUAGAGUCAGAAACCAUCUGAACAUCUCAGUGUCCUUUGCUCCCUGCUUUCAAAUCAGAUGUUACUCUGUGUUAUGGUGUGCUGUGUGCAGGCAGGAGAAGAGGAGCCAAACGCUGGACUCACAGUGAACUAAAAGAGGCAGCUUUAUUGCGCUGUGGCAGAAACUCCCAACAUAAACUCGCAAAAACAGACCUAAACUGAAAACGCAAAGCUAAUAACAAAACAAUAGGAAAACCUAAAGACAAGCAAGUGGGAGCACGGAAGAAAAACACACACCAAGUUAAAGGUACAACGUGACUAUGAACACUGGAGGACACACAAUAUAAAUACUCAUGAGGGAAUGAGGAACAGGUGGGAACACAGCCGGGAGAAAUUAGACCUAACGAGACAGAGGAAGCGAAACUAGAACACUGACAUAAGACAUAAACCUGAAACUUUCAUUGCUUCAUUGCUUUUUUGAUACAUCUGCGCUCUUUGGGAUGCUGAGGCCCUCCAUUGUCUGGUCUAGCAACACUUUAGUGUCUGUGACAUGCUUGUCUUUAGUGUAGCUUUGGAGAGCUUUACAUUUCCUCAGGACUCUGACCAAUACAAUGCAAGGAAACAGCCAGUGCCGCUCUUCCUCAGCUGUUGUUUCAUCAGCUGGCUGUGAUCGGUCAAAUAUAUCUCUUUCCGAUGGUUCCAUGAUGUAAAUGUAAAGGGUUUCUUGUUUUUGUUGUUCUCCAACUAAUCUCAAAACUCGCCGAACGUUCACUCACAAUCCUGAUGAAAAUAAGGUCCCUCAUAGGGACAACAUUUAUUAAAGCUUUCGGGGCGUGGAGCAUGUGUUAUAUUGAUGCUGCUGAGAGUUACUUUAUUGACAGCUCAUGCAUAAUCACUACAGGUGAACAACUUGCAGCUCAGUGCCAAGAGUUUGGGUUAUCCUGCAGGUUAUCACUGAGUCCAAACAACCUAUGUUUAGAGCAGAACCUGGAAUGCUUCUGGUCCUCAAUACGAUUACGAAGCGUAGGGUGCCAGAAGGCGAGGAAGAGUAUUUGCUUGUUUAACACUGAAGAAACAAACAUAGAUCUACGUCCUUGUUGCUUAAACCGGGUUCAGCCUUAGAAAUUCCAUAAAAUUUAAGCAACUUCUGGAGGAUCACAGUUUGGUAAAUAUGCGCAUUUACACAUAAUAAUGCGUUCUUCAUCACAUCCAGUAGGUCAGCUGUUAUAUAGGACUUCUGAGUUUAUAUUGUUUUUAACAGGAAUACUCUGUGGAUUAUUGUGGCGCUCUACCUCAAAUUUAUCAUAGAACUGUCUCACUCACCUCUAGGCCAUGACAAAUAAGACGAGGACAUGCAGUGAAUAAAUAUUACUGAGCAAAAGCUGCCUCUGGCUCUUUUCCGGUGUGCCCUUUUUUUUUUCUCACCGUUUUGUUUUCAUUAUUUUUCUAGUUUGUGACAUCUAGAAUAAUUUUAAUGAUCAUUUUAUGUACAUCUAUGGUAACUAAACUUGGUGCUAUAUGGGGCUUUUCUACUCUACUUCAGCAAUCAAAGCUCUGUGUAAAAAAUGUCUCAUUCACCCAUUCAUUCAAGCACUAUUUCUAUAUCUAAGUGCUUUCUGUGUAACAUUCACAUACAUUCAUAAUCUGAUGGAUGCAUCAGAGAGCAACCUGGUGUUCAGUGUCUUUCCCAAGGGUACAUUGGCAUGCAGACUGGAGCAGCCAGGAAUACACCAACCUUCCGAUGAGUAGGUGGCCUAAAAAUAUAUAUCUAUAUAUACAUAUACACAUAUACUGGCUAUCAGCUUUUCUUUGGAUUUUAGGAGUCAUACAGGUAGUUUAAAGAUGUAAGAAAAUAUACUACAGGCACAAACUCCCCACUUAACCCUCUUUGGGGAAAAAACUGCCACUGAUGAUUCCUGGAGCAAACACAGAAUUAGAAGAGAAAGUAUAGCAAUUUUUCUUUAUUACAAUUGUUGUCUCUUAUUUUCAAUCAGGUGAAGAAAAAUACCUUUUUUGUUCAGUAUAAUAAAAUAUGUUAACUUUAUUCAUUUCAUGAAGAAAAACAAUGACAACAAGAAAAUAAAAACAGAAAACAAAAUAUUUUUUGUCUCUCCCUCUUUGUAAACCUGGAGAGCUGCUGCAUUGCGUGGGAAGCAAAUACAACGGAGACAGAGUGUGAGGGAGCGGUGGAGAGGCUGGACAGGUGGAGGGGGAGAAAAGCAGGAGGAGACAUAGGAUAAUGACAAAAAGAUAA